AACUCUGUGGUGAAGUUCAUGUCAGAUUGCAAGUCUGAAGAUACACCUUUAUGGGUGUCGGGGUUUU